rnacentral:rRNA from 1 species
UUUCGCAAUGCCCGAAAGGGUGACGAAGCGACGCCGCGUGAGCGAAGAAGGCCUUAGGGUUGUAAAGCUCUGUCAGAGGUUAAGAAAUGUAAACAGGUUAAUACCCUGCUUAUUUGACAAAAGCCUCAAAGGAAACCACGGCUAACUCUGUGCCAGCAGCCGCGGUAAUACAGAGGCGGCAAGCGUUGUUCGGAAUUAUUGGGCGUAAAGAGCACGUAGGCGGCCUUGCAAGUCAGUUGUGAAAGCCUUCCGCUCAACGGAAGAAUGCCAGCUGAUACUACAGGGCUUGAGUACGGGAGGGGAGAGUGGAACUUCUGGUGGAGCGGUGAAAUGCGUAGAUAUCAGAAGGAACGCCGGCGGCGAAAGCGAUUCUCUGGCCUAUAACUGACACUGAGUGUGCGAAAGCUAGGGGAGCAAACGGGAUUAGAUACCCCGGUAGUCCUAGCCGUAAACGAUGGGCACUAAGUAGAGGGGUUUUA